GAGCGGACGGUUGGCGCGCGGCGCAUGCGCCCCGCCUGGGUGUCUGUGCUCCCCGCUGUUGCGGUGGGGCGGGAGGAGCGGAGGGAGCCCGUGCCCCGGCGGAGAGGUUCCAUCUUCUGUUCUUACUGGUCCUGCUUUGUGUUAUUUUGAUGAUCCACAUUUGUUUGAAAGGCACGGUUGGGCUAUAGAUUUGGCGUCUGAGUGGAUAGGGCUUCAGUAAGUCUGAAGUCCUCUAGCAUACUGUGAAGAUGCUACACACACGCUGGACAGAUUGAGGUGCUUAACUUAUAUUCCAGAGACCUCUGAAGAACAAAGCUGUCAUGGUACUAUGAGUGAAAGCAAGCAGAGUCCUUGGUCCGUACUGCACUAAAUGACUGAAUGACUGUGGGACUCGGUGAAGACUACAGGCCAUACAGAAUGCAGACAUGAACUGUUCCUGAUAUCUUCCCCUGAUCUGCCAUACACGUAGUACCGUUAGGCCCAGCAGCAUUACUGCAGCCUGCAGUCCAAUGGAUGAACUGGACAAUGAUUUUAAAGAAUUAUGGGCAAAUCUUUUGGGUAGGGCGAAGAAGAAAGCUGGGGAUGCUGAAGCAGCAAAGAGAGUUCAGAACAGGACAAAGAGCACUGCAACAAGAAGCAAAUUAAAAAGAGGAAAAGCUGCUGCUAAGAGCCAAGACCAUCAUCUCUUUCCAGUAGUGAAGGGGAGAAACUCGCCUCAAAAUUUGGGUCCUAAGGAACAAACAGAGGUGCACAAAGAUGAUGAUACUGUGGCCUGUAGUAGUGGUGGGACUUCACAAGAAGAUGGAAGGAGAAACCCUUUCCCUGCCAGCCAGAUGGGCACAGUGGCCAGUGAUUCUACCCAGAGGACUCUGACACUGAGUGCUUUGAGUGGCUGUUCCCAGACUACGUUAUCCUUCCAUCCUGCUGCUCAACCAGAGACCUGCUCUUCACCCAUUUUGAAGACACCGCUGCUGUCCGGAUCUAAGGUGCGGGUAGCAGAGUUGGUAGUGGAGAGAAUGCAGCAGUUCAAGAGAGUGGCACCUGAGCAGCUAAAACACAACCUGGAUGAUAGCUUGCCAAAAGCUGUAGCCAGUGGGAAUUUCCUUGAUGAAAGUGAGGAGCAGAACCCACCACAGAAUGGUACCCAUGAUCUUCCAUCCACAGAGCAUGAUGGUGAUUUGGCUUUGGCUCUUCAGCAGGAGAUCAAGGAGAAAGUCCCUGAAAGCCUGGAGGAGGAAGGCUUGUUUUUCUGUCAGAUCUGCCAGAAGGAUCUCUCAGCCAUGAACACAACACGACGAGAGCAGCAUGUUAACAGGUGCCUCGAUGAGAUGGAAGAAGCACAGAUGUCCUCCUCCAGUAAACCAUCAGUCCCUGAAUGUCCCAUCUGUGGGAAGCAGUUCCAAACUCCACAGAGCCGAGCCACUCACUUGAAACGCUGUGCUGUCGAGAUGGAUGUUCCUCCUAAGCUGCUGCUUCAAGCAGUGCAGUUGCAGGUGUCCACGCUUGGUGUUGCACCUCUUCAGUAUCCCAGCAAUCAACCAAGCAGGUCAAAGCGAAAAGGAUCCUCCAAACAGGACUCAGAGAAAAAGCAGAAGAGAGCCAAAAUGGAGACUAAGGAUGAAGAUUUGCAGGUUGCUAUGGCAAUGUCACGCUCUCUGUUGGAGCAAGAAAAGCGGGAGCAAGCAAUAUCAGUUACAGAUGUGAAACCAGUGGUUGCUUUGCCAAUCAAAUGGAAGCCAGGAUCAGAGAAGAAAAGGCGUAAAAGAGGCCCAGCUGCACCUCCACCAUUGCUGCUUCAGGAUCCAGAGACAGCUCGCAAAAGGAUCGAAGAGCGAGUAGCCAUGCUGCUUGCAGAAGAGGUGGAAUUCCCUCCCACACCUCGGCUCCCCACCAGUAGGAUUUUGGAGAAUGAAUCUGGGAAAACUGCUUGGCUCAUGCAAUUGCCCAAAAACAAGGACUGCUUUUUAUGGAAUUGUAGUGCGCUAACAGGACCCUGUGACCCUGAAUUGUUUUAUACUGCUGGAUUAACCCCUCCAAUUGUGCCUUGGAAGCCUGUGCAGAAUUUUAAAUCAGAGAUUGUUCUGCCAUCAGUGGGAUCUAAUCAGCCAGAAGUGUGCCCGCAACUUCAGCCUGACCUUAGUUCUCAUGAUCCGACUUCUGUAGAGGCUGGAGAGAAAACUUCUGAUGAAUCCAAGUCAGGACCUGAAGGGGAUGGACAGUUUUCAUCUCAGAGCCAGAAGGAUGUUCAGACCUUGCAGGACCUGGUUGAGUUGGCCAAGGAGGGACUUACUCUUACUCAGUGGAACCUUGAUGUUAACCACGGUCAGGAAACAGAACAGUCAGGAAAAGAACCGACUUCCAGUGAUAUUCCACUUAGUGGCUUCGUCUCUCCAUCCAAAGAGAAGAGAUUUCUGAGAAGCAGCUGCAGGAGUUCCUCCCUCAGGUUGCUGGCUGCAGAUUUCAGUACAAUGGUCAACAACCCCCACUUAAGUGACGUCCAGUUUCAGGUGGACUCUGGGGAAGUCUUUUACGCCCACAUGUUUGUGCUGUACGCACGGUGUCCUCAGGCCGUUCAAAUCGUUCACAGUGAAGGAUUCUUAGUGGAGGAGGAUGGGAAUGCGCAGACACGCCGUGUGCUGCUGAGUGACGUGACAGGAGAGGCAGCCUGCGCGUUCCUGCGAUACCUUUAUGCUGCUGAAGCUGACAUCCCUGCUGGGAUGCUGCCCCAGCUUGGGGCUCUGGCUGCCAGGUUUGGUGUAAAGGAACUCAUGGCCAAGUUUGAAAACAGCACUGGAGAGAGCCAGGUGUCUUCUGAAGUGGAUUCAGAAGAUGAUCUCAUCUCUGUGAGAGAUGACAAAGAUUGUGAGAACAGAGCUGAGAACUUCCAAGAGCUCUUGAAGUCAGUGUGGGUGGGUGAAGAUGAGGAAGAAGAGGCUGUGCUGAACCCUGAAUGCCAGAAGGAAGAUGACAAUGGGGUGGGUGAACAGGAGCUGGAGGAAAUCUAUGAGUUUGCUGCAACUCAGAGAAAGAUGGCUCAAGGUGAAACAGGGGUGAGUGAAGGCACAGAUUACAGCAUCUACAGUGAUACUGAGGCAGCGCAAGGUGUGAACCAGCAGACUGAGAAAGAAGAAACAGAGAGAUCUGAAUCUGCUUCGAUGAGCCAUGACUUGAAAGAUCUGAAGGAAGACAAUGAUGUGGAAGGAUCCAAAUGUGACUUGUCUGAACAAGAGGAGACAAUGCAGAAUAUAAGUAGCUGCACGAAUGUGAAUGCCACAAACAUCACUUUUAUACCUUGCCAGGAUGAACGUCAAAAGUUGGGUGUAGCAUCCCAUACUACCACCACUAAUGAAGGAGAGACGCUUAGGAGACAUAAAGUUGGGAAAGAUUCCAAGUUAUCUCAGGUCUCAAAUAAUGCGGGAGGGGAAGACCACUUGGAAAAUCAGUUUACUAAUACCCACAGUGAUACUGGUAUGAAUGAAAAUUAUAAACACUUAUUUCCUGCAAACCAGAGAGAAUACUGUGAGCCUUCCCCAGUGAAAGAAGCUAUCAGAAAGUCAGGAGAGGCUUUUAGUGAAAAACAUGUUGAUGUUAAUGAUUUGCUUAUGUACAGCAAGUCACAAAAAGACACCUCUCCCUGUAAGAAUGGGUUUUGUGCCAGUCCUCCUCCCAAACCUUUUAUUCCGCUUUUUCCUGCUGUUGGCUCUUCACCUGCGUCUCCAAAAUCAAAUAGGAAAUUUCCCAGAGAAGCAAAAAUGCCAAAGAAAAACAGAAUUAAAAAAUCAUUCUCAUCUCACAAAAUAUCCUUCCAGAAAGGCAGUGAGUUGGACAUUGCAUCAGGAAAUGAGAACACAGAGAACACAAUUUCUCCGGAAGAGUUUUGCACUGAUUUAAGCAAGCAUAAAUAUGUUUCAGUUUUGUCAUCACCAGUCAUCAGAACUCAAGAUGUUGCAGUUCAGGGGAAAAAAGAAGCUGAUAUUAUUGUUUUGUCUUCCGGUGAUGAAAUGGAAUUAGAACAAGAAAAGUCACCAGAGUCAGGCUCUCCUCUGAAGAAAGUGGAAAUCCCUGGGCAAGUGAAAUGUGCUAGCAUUGAACAAGGUCCUGAGAUACCAAAACCUGAACAUAACUCAUCAUCAGUCACUAAAACAGAGCAGAGAUCAUCCCAGGUCUCAUGUGGCAUUACAGAUGCAGUAUAUACAAAUAAUGAUGUAAAGAUGUCCACAGAGCUGUCUGUCAGCAGCCAAGUAGGUGCUUGUACAGACAACAAACAGAGUCUGAACCUGAGCCAUGAAGAAGGAAUUGGUCACGAGGAGUCUUCGGGUAUGGACAGCUCUUGGCUAGUGCCAGAUACACCAUUUCUGAGCAAAAGCAGAAAUUUAUCAACACAGAUGCAAGUCAAAAGUAUUACCUGUAUAAAGAAUUCCAGGUCUAAACUCAGGACAGAGAGCUUUGCGGUAGGUAACAAUGACCGUGAAAUGGCUGUUAGCUUUACAAAAGUUCCUGGAACAACUCUGUCAGACAAACAGUUGCCUGUGGAGAACUCCGACAGUGAAAGGAACCCUUCCAGCAGCCCAGCGACAGUACCAUUUUCCGUGGACACUGCAACAGUUUCUACAGUGGAUCCAGUUCUCUCCCCUGGCUACAACAGCAUGAAAAACAAAUGUGCCAAGAGCUCAUCUGUGUCCAAACCUGUGCCUCCAUGCCAUGAGCAGUCACUGGAAGAUGAAGCAGAUACCAGUGUGAUUGAGAUAAAGGACAGUGAGGGGGAAAAGGAAGCAAGUCUACUUUCUUUGAGUAGUAGUGUCUUGCUUGGCGAUGAGCCCCCAAUCCCUGUUGAUGACUGCUGGCAUGCUGAAUAUCUGUCGCCAGUCAGAGGUAACAGCCAGAACUCCAGUCGGGUUGACUGUGCAAGUGCCAGCACUGCCAGUAGCCCCAAACCUGACUCUUGGCCUGACCAAUGGGAGAGCCCAGUCCAAGCACAGGGAAUUAAGGGCAGUACCCCUCUUCGAGGAAGUCCUGGUGACAGAAGAAGAACUUUGCUUCACCUUGGAAAGAGUCCUGUUGAGGCAUGUUCAUCAGUGAGCAGUAGACUAAGUUAUCUAAACUCCAAACUCUGGGAUGAUUGGGAUGGAGAAGAAGAAGAGGGAGAUGAACUCCCAGAAAUGCUUCCUCUGUCUCAGAGGGUGUCAGCUGCAGCAGGUGCCUGUCAGACAGAGCCUGUAAAGACCCCUGAGCCUGCCUGUCAGGAGAGGGAUGAGUCUCCUGAGACUCCCAUGACACCAAUGCCAGCUUACUCCAUGAUGGAAACCCCAGAGCUGAAGAAGGAGUUGAGAAGAUUUGGAGUUCGUCCUUUCCCAAAACGCCAGAUGGUGUUAAAGCUGAAGGAGAUAUUCCAAUAUACUCACCAGGACGUGGAUGCUGACUUGGAGGAUGAAAUCCCAUCUUCCCAGCCUCCUUUGCAGAAGUCCCCAGCCAAACACUCUAGGCAGUUGAAGGCAAACCGGACUGCAGGUGGAAAGCGUGCCAAAGCCUCAAAUGCUGUGAGGAAAAAGAAGCAGGCUGUUACAGCUUAUUCAGUGCUCACUGCGGGGAGUGCUGGCGAUGACUUGGUUGGACCCCUUGAAACAGGCUAUUCGGGAGCUAAGGAGGGAGCUGAAAUGACAGAUCAGUACAAAGGAGCCAGAGAGCAGAAGGUAUCUGUAUCUCCAGAGAGGAACUUUCUGGCAGCUGAUGAUGAGGAGCUGAUGCUCUCAGCAUCUCAGGAAUCUGCAAGUUCUUCACUGGAUGGAAGUGACAUCUCUGCUGGGUUACAGAGUUCUUUUGCCAAUGAACUUGAGGCCUGUGCUCUUGUGUCUGAAGAGGAGGAAGAUGACCUUACAGCUUCUCAGGCAGCAGCCCAGGAGGCAGAUAAACUGGAGGCAGUGAGGAACUACAUCCGUUCAAAUCCAGCCCUGUACCGCAAGAUCCUCUUUUAUGAGCCACUUGAGCUGGCUGUACUGCACUCGGAGCUGAAACAGAAUGGCAUUAAGAUUGCCAAGGCAAAGCUGCUGGACUUCUUAGAUGCUCACUGUAUCACCUUUACCACGGCCGCAGCCCGGAAAGAGAAGGAACAGAAAGGAAAGGGGAACAAAAAACGGAGGAGACGAUACUGAAUGGAGCCCUGUCCUCUGUUUCAAGAGUUUUGAACAUCAAGGCCUUCCUGAUAAGCUGGAAACCCUGUUCUAGGCUGGUGCCUGAUUUGCUGGUGUGAUUGGUGAGUGAGCUGCUCCUCCUUGUGGCCUGUUGUCCAGAUGACACACUGGAGAAUGAAUCUGAACUUAGCUGCUGCUCCCAUGCCAUCUGCUCCAAGUUGCACAGACUCCUGCUGCUGCACUGCCUCCAGCACAGAGUUUCACUGGAGCCUCUGUUUGUUUUCCCUGGUUUUUCUCCUCCUCACCUUGUCUUUUCUUUCCUAGGUUUUAGGUCUCUUGUCUUUUCUUCCUUUCGGUGCUUCCAGAGGCAGGUGCUUCUUCCAGUGACACUUGCCAAAGCCCUUGCCCUGGGCUUGGGCAGAGAGGUGCUUCACACUUCAAGUUCCAGUAUUCAGUAGAAUAACCUGCCAGCAAGAAACCAAUCUCUUCGCCCCUGUAUGAAGUAUUCAGUGUUUGGACCCAAGUGACUUACAGUCUUCCCUUAUUCAGUGUGCAAGUGGCCCUGCUGAUUGUUAAGGCAGGGAGCAUUUUGGAAAUAAGAGGCCUCUCUCCUGUCCUUGAUUCAAUUUGUGGUCUCUGGUAAAACUUCUAAAUCUGCAUUUCCUAAACGGCUGCUGAACAACACAGCUGUUUUUCCAGUCUAUUUCUGAUGGCUCCCCAAAGUGCCUUCCGAUUCCAGGUAUUAUGUGAGAGCCUUCUGGAUUCCAGCAUUCAGCUGUGUGCGUUCACUUGCAUGCUGGGAUCUGUGUUAAAGAUAUCAUCUGCUCCAUUUUCUGAGGGCUGUGUUACCUUGUUACUGUAGGCUGACCAGAGCACAUCCUUGACACAGAAUUUUCUUUUUAAGAAGGCAGUAUUAUAGUGACCACUGGAUCUUUUCAGCACUUAAACCCUCUUCCUUGACCAGUCUCUUUUCCAACCUGGACUGAUCUUAAGUUGUAAACAACAUCUGGAACUCUUGGGGAUGUCUUAGACCCUAAAGUGUCAUCUUUUAUGUAUUUAAUUUCAUAAACUCUUCUGACUUUCCUGUGUUUUGAGAGUUUUGAAUCUGAAAAGGGUCUCACUCAGCAAAAUGGACACAAUGCUUUUAAAAAAGAAAACAGAUUUCUAAACAUAUUUAUGUAUUUUGGAACAUAUAAAUAUUUUCUAUUUUUGAUACAGUAUAGCCUCAGUUUGAUUUUUAUAUUAUAUACAAUAAACCAUUUAUAAGGUACUAAUGAUAAACUAUAACAAGUAAUGUCUUAUGAGAGACUGGGGGGAGUCUAAGUAGUAGUACUGGGUCUAGCUGGAGCAGUAGCAGCUUCACAGUGUGCGCACUGGCUAAAACCCUCGGCAGAGAACUGGAAGAAGGGGAGAGUUGUGUCAUGGAGGCCCAGCAGCAAGAAGAGCCAAAACGAGAGAGAUCACCUGGCAGCGUCUGGCAAAUGGUGGAUCCAAUACCUGGAGAGAGGCAGACUGCCAGGUUUGUCUGAGACGUGGAGCCCAAAGAGACCAUCUUCCCAGGGAAGCUCUGCACAUGCAAACUCCUGAGAUGGAGAGUUCAGGUAACUGAGGACAGGCAAGAGUGACCGCACCAAUGCCCUCGCCUCCCUGACCCCGCAUGUCUGCAAGCCCCCGCUCUGCCAACUGACGUUGUGAGCUCUUGCUCCUGCCACCCAUCCGGCUAAGAGCGAGCAAACCUGCUGGGAACAGAGCCUGGUCCCUAGCUAGAGGUGCAGGCAGAGGAGGAUUCUCAGUCUUAAACUGGAUGUCAUCUCCUGCAUAGAACAAGAGGAAGAGCUGCUGGUUGCCUGUUUCAAGGGCUCUGAGGAAGAGGAGUUGCUGAAUGGUCCCUGCACAGGGCACCUGAGCCGUCCUGGCUGACUCCCAGGGGAGGUCUCUGCUGUCUUGAAUUGUUCGCUGAGGUUUCAGAUGGGGCCUGGAGUAUGAAGAACCUUUUCCCUUCUUCUGCAGGGCCAG